AUUUAAUAACUUUGAUAGGUAGAUGGAGGUUUAAUCAUAUUUAGGAGGUUUAAUCAUAUUUAAUAACUUUGAUAGGUAGAUGGAGGUUUAAUCAUAUUUAGGAGGUUUAAUCAUAUUUAAUAACUUUGAUAGGUAGAUGGAGGUUUAAUCAUAUUUAGGAGGUUUAAUCAUAUUUAAUAACUUUGAUAGGUAGAUGGAGGUUUAAUCAUAUUUAGGAGGUUUAAUCA